rnacentral:lncRNA from 1 species
CUGGAAGCCUGUCUGCUUAUUGUUAAGAUUCACUGGAGAGGCAAGGAAAAGCACGUACAGCUAAUGGGGCCAUCUCCCGGGGUCAUCCAGCAGCUGUUCCUGUUGAAUAUUCAAACACACCCAUCCACACCCACCUCCACCCAUGCAGAAAAGGAUUGAAAGGAUCACCAGACAAGAAACAAGAAAGCAAGACUGCUGACAUUUAAAAAUGAAAUUUGCUUUUGGUAAUAAGGGGAUUUCUUCCGUACACUCACCACCCCUCCCUUUUCUGUUACCCUUCCUAUUUCCUUCUUCUGACUGUUUUUCUUAGUGACAUUAUGUCCUUUAAUCAUCUAAUUCUCAUAGUGAUGAUCCAAGAGCAUUCAGAUGACCUAUCAUUGAAUGUUUUACCCCAUGUGGUACAAAACAAAAAGCUACAGCAACAAAACCCUCCUGUUAAAUUAUGUACUUUUAUGUGUCAUAAUUAUGUAUUUUUUAAUUUCACUUUUGUAUGUCUUGGGCACUAUGGAAAAAUUAUUUCUAGAAGAAAAAAAAGAUUUCAUUUUCUGAUUUCUACUAAAAAAAAGUGAGAUCCAUAUAUACACCCAAGGGAAAUUAGCCUUUAUGCUAAGGUUAACUUAGAGUGAUUUAGGAACCCAGUAUCUUUUGUAUCUAUCUUAUCCAGUGUUUGUCCAGACUAAGUUCAGUGUUGGUAACUUCUGCAAGUGCUGUCAGAUCACUGGGUGAUGCUUCAUCAACAGCUUCUCCUUUAUUUCAGAUUUUUUCCUUUCUCUCAGUGCCCUGUGCUCUUUUGUUUUCUGUUAACUCAGUUUUCUUCCUUUAUGAAAAUAACCACAGAACUUUUCUAAGAGAAGUUAUUUAUGAAACUUAUGUAUAAUUUUGAGUAUGUAACAGAAAGAGAGAGUCACUGCAAAUCACUACUCAUCUUCACUGAUGAUUUCUCUGGCAGAAGGACUGGAGUUCCAAGCCUAUAACCCAUUUUAAAACAAAAAUCCACUUGAGGAGCACAAGUCACAAACUGAACUGGUAUUUCCAAUGAUACAGCUUUCUGAAGAAAAAAAAUUUGAAUUGAGAAUAAAAUGCACAGAACUGCAAGAAUCUGGAAAAAAAAAAAAUCAGCCAAAAUCAAGUAAUUGAUACUUGAAAAAGCCGAAGAUUUUUGGAAAAAAAAAAAAAAAAAGCUGUCAUUUUUCCUAUUAAGAAAUAUCCCACUUCUCUAAUUAAACCUAAAGAUAUUGUAAUGCUCAGCAAGCCAGCAAAUGUUGUCUGGAAACAACGUAAGGGAAUAAAUUCAUAAGCUUACCCACACAAUAGCAAAAAAAAAAAAAAAAAAAGUCCACCUGUUAAGAAGCUAUGAAUAAUUGCACAAGCUUCAGCUGAUACAUAAUACAUCCUGGUAUUAAUCUAGAUCCUUAAAUAUCCCUUCUAGUACUAAAAAUACCUUAGAGGAACUGCACACCCCAAGAGAACAACCUGUAGAGAACUUUCUUUAGUUUCCUUUAAAUUCUGUCAUUUCCUUUUUUAUCCUAACAAAACCACAGUCUAGAAGUUGUGGUCUGUAGUCUAGAUUAAUUCCAUGUGCUUCUCUGAGGAUAGAGGAUCCUUCUACAAAAGGGAGAAAAGAGUUCCUGGAGGGUAUGACAAAUGUAGCAUAGUUAUAAUGGUAGCGAAGCAAACCACCUUCUUCUGUACAAAGUGCCAAAUUUCUGGCAAUACAUUCUUUUUCUACCAUGUGAGAUUUUUUUCAUCUGUUAAACUUUGUGAGGUUUACAAUAAAGGCAAUGUAUUUUGUAAUGCAAAACCAAACCUAUAGAGACUUGGGGCCAUCUAAAAUUUUAAUUUUGUGGCGGGAAAAUGAAUUUGGAAAUAGGAAAAGAAGUCAGAAAAAGCUGAAAAAUCAUCUUAAAUACAUUUCAAGAAGAGGAGCUAUAAAAUGGAAACACUCAGUAAGGAAUAUAUUGCAAUGCUGUUCCAGAACUUGGGCAAACAAUGCAUAACUAAAUCGGAAACACUACCUUCUGCCAGAUCUGAUGAAAAAGGAUAAUUUUUAGCAGGUAUCUACUGCCCCUACCAAAUCAACUCCAAGUCCAGAAUAAGAGAAAAGCAAAAUCUGAAAUAGCCCCACCAUUACUGAUAUAUGUGCUACUCAUAUUUACAUAUAAACGGAGGGGGGCGGGGGGGGGGGGGGUGAGAGUGGAAUGUAGAGUGAAAUGGAAGGGUACAGUAAUGAGAAACCACUAUGACUGCGAAGUGGAUCCAUCAGAGAGCAGAUCCACUUUUUUUCCAAUGGAAAAAGAUGCAGAAGUGAUUAAAGGAGAGUUAACAAGGAGGGCCUACACUGCGCAAUGCAGCAUUUGGCAGAGAGAACAGCUUGUCACUGACAGCGCUGCGCUUUGCCUCAGCUCUGCUCAUGUGGCAGCCCUGUAGUGAUACUGGUUUCAGCUUUCUACUAAGCCUCAUCAGCCUACUAACACAAAAAAAGUGAGCAAACUGUGAAACAGGCAUAAUUUUUUCUGAGGAAAGAAACCUAAAAUUUUAUUCUAACAGCAUGUUCAAUGCCCAACCCAUAUACUGAUUUUUUCUCACCUUGUUGCUCCAUCUAAUUUAUUGGGAAGGCCUGUGCUUCAGUAGCACUGAAACUAGCAUUGUUGCAAGCACUAAUAUUUGGUAGAGAAUUUUAAGUAUACUUACUUAAAGUAAAAGAAUAUACCAAGAGAAAUCAGAAGUGAGGUAAUUGAAAGACCAUGUCCUAUGAUGGCCAAAUAAUACAAAUUCAGAGCAGUCUGCAAUAGAAGAAUAAAACCAAGCACACGUGAUACAUACAGAGUUAAGAACAUGCUUAUACAUCUCUUCUACCUACAAAUGACUGUAAUAAGAUUAAGAACAUAAAAACUUUACUGAUAAUGAUGAGUCAAAUCCAGAAUCCUGCAAAUCAUUAUCUUACUAAGAUCUCUUUCUGUUGGGCAAAAACCGGAUUCAUUUAAAACACUAGAAAUUCUCCUAGAUGUUAAAACAUUAGCUUUUAUAAAUAUACACAGCUUUUUCUGAGUAUUUACAUAAAAUCUGGUCAUUUUUGCUACAGUGUUCAGUGCACUCCUAUCUGAGGUUGGAUUCAUCUAUCAUACAUCUUUUAAAGAAAAUAAGUCAAUGCGCUUCACAUAUGAAUGUAUGUUUUUUUUGCUCCCAUAAUUUUUUCUCUUACAAAGAUACUUUCUUCGAACCAAGAUUUUGUUUGAAGAAUGAAAAAAAUUAACAAUGAUUCCAAACUAGCAAAGACUAAAUGCAACUAUCAAAUAAAUCCGCAGCAAAAUUAUAGUAUUAUGGAAAGCUAGGUAGAAAGCAAAAUAAUAAUGAAGAACUGGUAAAGUAAUGUUAGGUAUAUGUACAAGAUGUAAUCAUCCAUUAUUUGAAUUAAUAAUUUAAAUUCUACCAAAACAAAAUUCUGCUUUCAAUUAUGGAGUCUGCCUCAAAAAUUUGCCUUUUUGUUUGUUUGUUUUUGAUUACAAAAAUCAUCAUUUUACACAGAAGAAAAUGAAAGUUGAACCUUAUAUUACCACGAUAAAGCAUAGUUAUCUAGAUUGUAUAAGAGGGAAUAAUAGCCUGCAUACACAGGUUCAUAUAAUCCAUACUGUACACGUCCUCUGAACCUAUUCUCUAAUUUAAUGUUUGAAUAGCAGCAUAUAUUGACUUGUGAAAUCAUAUAAAUGGAUUACAGGUAAAGCUUUAAGAAAUGUUAUUAGAUGAGACACUAUCUGUGCAUGCCACAAUUUUUCAAGUUUCACAGAUCACUUCCUUGAGACUGGUGACAUGCAUUUGUUCCUUUCCUACCUUCACUUUUUCAUGCGUAUAGAUGUUACACUGGGUGUAGUUCGUCCAUGUCCUGUUGCUUUCUGGGUGUCUAAACCAGUUCCCACUUGAAUCACAGAUCUUUGUAACUUUUUCUACAGGCAGUCAGAGUAGUCAAAAAGAAAAACAAAAUGGCAAAAAACACAACAGUGAGCACUGAAGUUCUACUUCCUGAUCUUUGCGUUUCACAAAAGAGAUUGGCAAACAAAUGACAGCUUUAUUAAUAUGACUAGAGAGACAUUGCCUAUUACUUAAAAUUCUGAGAAACCAGAGGCCAUUGCUUCUGCUUGGCAAGGGCAACCGAUGAUGUGUUUUUUCUUACGAAAACAAAUACAUUUCCCUUCUACAAAAUACCAUCAGAAUAUAUCAUACUGUUACAGAACUACCAGAUGAAGUGAUGAGGAUAUUUAAAUGGCUACUUUAACAUCCAAGAUAUAAACGGAAGUCUACUAUCUUACCACUGUAAAUUGAACAGGCAGGAAAACAUCAAUAGAAACUGCUCUAGAACCAGACUGGAGAACUUCCAGGACCACAUAAUGAUUAACUCAAAUAGAAAUGGACACAAAAAGAUCCUGGGAAAUAGCGAACGCAGCAGAAGCAGACAAGAGUGAAAGUCUAUGACAUUUUCCACAUGCUUACACAGUUGCAAAGUUCAGCUUACUGGAAAAGACUCACUUGUAGGAGAAACACUUGUUAACUUCAGCUGUCAAAUUGAGGUAAAAAACAAUUACAUUUCUGCUUUCCUCUCAGAAGGUACAGCUCACUACCAAGAGCAAAGAACUGUCAUCUAAAUUAAAUUUGGAUUUCCUAAUCUAUAGAAUUCUACCAUGGCUCAUUUCAGAAAAGUAAAAAACUUUGCCACUUCUCUGCGAUAAAAGCGAAGUGCAAAUAAAGGAUUUGGAGUUACUGAUAUUCUGAUGCAUUAGUGACUUGAGUAAGGCAAAGAGUAGCAUCAAGAGCAUCAAGCACCCAACAGCUCAUUUCAUUAAGCAAUAUGUUUAUACAGAAAGCUCAUGCACACACUUACCUGACGGAUUGAAAUCUUGGAAGUAGUCAGGACAAUGCUGUACUGAUACAGUUCCUGCAGCAACAUCACUCCAGCACAACCAGCCAUCCCAUGUCCUGUUACAGUAAGGACCUUCUUUCCUAUGAAUAGGAUCUUGCAUAAUUUUCUGGUAGCAUUCAUACUGUGCUGUCAUAAUUUUAUUCCGUGUAACAGUCAGUUGACCAGAGUCCUCUGUCAUAUUCUGAUGGCCUUCAGAUGGAAUAGCAGUGGCAAACAACAAAGUAACUGAGAAGAAGAACAGCAAAAAUGUGAUCCAGUUUUUUGUCAUUUUUAUAUCCAAUGCAGUGUAUUUUAUGUUGUGAUUGAAUUAACUCAAACACGCGGAGUUGUUCCGAGCUCGGUCACUUGGAUCUUGGAUCUACCUUCCCAGCGAGGGAGCGGAGAGCUGCUCCUCAGCCUCCCCGCCCGGCCGGCUCGGAGCCUCGCAGACGUCCGCUGGGCACGGUGCAGACCGAGAGCCCGGCGGUGCCGGCAGUGCCGGCAGAGACGCCCGGCAGAGAAGCGCGGCUCUGGGCAGCGCCGGGAGAGGUUCAGCUGCUGAGUGAGGAGCGGCGGCAGCAGCGAGCCAUCAGAGCUUCCUGUUACAUCACCG